UACGAAGGGGGCUAGCGUUGUUCGGAAUUACUGGGCGUAAAGCGCGCGCAGGCGGUUCUUCAAGUCAGAGGUGAAAGCCCAGAGCUCAACUCUGGAAUGGCCUUUGAGACUAGAGAACUAGGGGACGGGAGAGGGGAGUGGAAUUCCGAGUGUAGAGGUGAAAUUCGUAGAUAUUCGGAAGAACACCAGUGGCGAAGGCGGCUCACUGGCCCGUUACCGACGCUCAGGCGCGACAGCGUGGGGAGCAAACAGG
rnacentral:rRNA from 1 species